GGUAUUUUUUUAGUUUUAAAAAAUACCUUGGGGUGGUAGAGGCCGCCGGUUCAAGUCCGGUCACUCAGACCA
rnacentral:tRNA from 1 species